rnacentral:rRNA from 1 species
GAUGAACGCUGGCGGCGUGCCUAAUACAUGCAAGUCGAGCGAACAGAUGAGGAGCUUGCUCCUCUGACGUUAGCGGCGGACGGGUGAGUAACACGUGGAUAACCUACCUAUAAGACUGGGAUAACUUCGGGAAACCGGAGCUAAUACCGGAUAAUAUAUUGAACCGCAUGGUUCAAUAGUGAAAGACGGUCUUGCUGUCACUUAUAGAUGGAUCCGCGCCGCAUUAGCUAGUUGGUAAGGUAACGGCUUACCAAGGCAACGAUGCGUAGCCGACCUGAGAGGGUGAUCGGCCACACUGGAACUGAGACACGGUCCAGACUCCUACGGGAGGCAGCAGUAGGGAAUAUUCCGCAAUGGGCGAAAGCCUGACGGAGCAACGCCGCGUGAGUGAUGAAGGUCUUCGGAUCGUAAAACUCUGUUAUUAGGGAAGAACAAAUGUGUAAGUAACUAUGCCCGUCUUGACGGUACCUAAUCAGAAAGCCACGGCUAACUACGUG